rnacentral:rRNA from 1 species
AUUGAACGCUGGCGGCAGGCCUAACACAUGCAAGUCGAACGGUAGCACAGAGAGCUUGCUCUCGGGUGACGAGUGGCGGACGGGUGAGUAAUGUCUGGGAAACUGCCCGAUGGAGGGGGAUAACUACUGGAAACGGUAGCUAAUACCGCAUAACGUCGCAAGACCAAAGUGGGGGACCCUCGGGCCUCCAACCAUCGGAUGUGCCCCGAUGGGUUUCGCUAGUAGGUGGGGUAAUGGCUCACCUAGGCGACGAUCCCUAGCUGGUCUGAGAGGAUGACCAGCCACACUGGAACUGAGACACGGUCCAGACUCCUACGGGAGGCAGCAGUGGGGAAUAUUGCACAAUGGGCGCAAGCCUGAUGCAGCCAUGCCGCGUGUAUGAAGAAGGCCUUCGGGUUGUAAAGUACUUUCAGCGGGGAGGAAGGCGGUGAAGUUAAUAGCUUCACCGAUUGACGUUACCCGCAGAAGAAGCACCGGCUAACUCCGUGCCAGCAGCCGCGGUAA